ACUAUACAACUUGAUCGUUCAAAAUGUCAAUUAAAUUGUUUGUCAUAUUGGCCGUGGUAAUCAAUUUGUCUGGUGCUGAAAAUGGAAUUCUACAACUACUACAAAAAGUAGUCCCUCAAGACUCCAAAUUUUGGGAGCCAUACAUCGUAUCCGUCCUUAAAGAUUGGCCGAUCCACGAAUCCUAAUCCCAGCCAAAACUAAAUAUUUCAAUUCCAACAGACGAAGACGGCAUCGUCCUGCCCCCAUUUCGCUUUCUUCUCCCAUUUUACAUCGGUUUGACGGACGGUCUUGUCGAUUUGACAUCAAAAAAUACAACAGUUUACGGAUGGAGAGAGACUGAUGCCUGGACCACGUCCAAUUUUUCCUUUGGAAUAUUUUCUUUUGAAGGAUACAUCAACACCUCGCGAUUAUUGUUUGCUGGAGAUUACUUCUCAUUAAACUCACUUGAACACGUAUUUUAUGAUCCAUCACCAUAUUAUCACAAAUAUAUUGGAAAUGACGAAUACUACCUGGAAUUGACAGAUUUCUUCGCAUUUAUAAAAUUUACCUUGAAUACCCCCUUAAUUGGGAAUAUUUCAAUUACAAAUUAUGCAGUUGGUUAUAAUCCGACUCACGGAUUUCGUUGGAACUUCAAAAAUGCGACGAAAGUCCACGGCGAUUCGCGUCGGGAAUUAGAUGACGCUUAUUGGGAACUAAAUUCUCAUGCAGCUAAGCAUGUGUUUUCAACUAUGAUUUCGAGUAUCAUGCCUUUCUUAGACUGCAUCAUAAAUAAAACAGUUGGGAACUGCAACAUUUUGGAACUAAUGAUUGGACAAUAUGACUGCUUGGAUUUCACUUCACACCCUGUGAGCUGCGAAUAUAGUAAAAACUUGUGAUAUAAUUUCUAAAAUAAUUCUCGUCUGAUUUUAUUGUAAAAGGAAUAUUAUUUUAUGCAAGAAAUAAAUAUAUCAAUUUUCA